rnacentral:rRNA from 1 species
ACCCGCGUACAUGCCACCGGGGCAUCCCGGAGGCAGGAAAGGCUUCGGCCGGACAGGGAUGGGCAUGCGGCGCAUUAGGCAGUAGGCGGGGUAACGGCCCACCUAACCGACGAUGCGUAGGGGUUCUGAGAGGAAGGUCCCCCACACUGGUACUGAGACACGGACCAGACUCCUACGGGAGGCAGCAGUGAGGAAUAUUGGUCAAUGGUCGGGAGACUGAACCAGCCAAGCCGCGUGAGGGAGGAAGGUACAGAGUAUCGUAAACCUCUUUUGUCAGGGAACAAAGACUGGGACGCGUCCCCGGAUGAGUGUACCUGAAGAAAAAGCAUCGGCUAACUCCGUGCCAGCAGCCGCGGUAAUACGGAGGAUGCGAGCGUUAUCCGGAUUUAUUGGGUUUAAAGGGUGCGCAGGCGGUCUGUUAAGUCAGCGGUCAAAGCCCGGGGCUCAACCCCGGCCCGCCGUUGAAACUGGCAGUCUCGAGUUGGAGAGAAGUAUGCGGAAUGCGCGGUGUAACGGUGAAAUGCAUAGAUAUCGCGCAGAACUCCGAUUGCGAAGGCAGCAUGCCGGCUCCACACUGACGCUGAGGCACGAAAGCGUGGGUAUCGAACAGGAUUAGAUACCCUGGUAGUCCACGCAGUAAACGAU